rnacentral:lncRNA from 1 species
GAAAAAGGAUGAAAAUGCUUUAUAUUUAACACUCAUGUAAGUCGCGUUACCAGGUCAAACAAAGCAGCAGAAUAUGAAACAUUAAGAAAAUAAUUGAACGAGAUAUUGGUUGCCUCCUGACUUCUUCCUUCCUAAUACCUGUUGCUGUAUCUGUAGACUGUAUGUAUGUAUUUACAUAGGACAAUUGUUUACAGACAUGUCGCCAGUCGCGACACUUCUCC